GCCGUAGGGCGCGAGCGUUGUCCGGAUUUCUUGGGCGUAAAGAGCUCGUAGGCGGCUUGUCGCGUCGACUGUGAAAACCCGAGGCUCAACUUCGGGCUUGCAGUCGAUACGGGCAGGCUAGAGUUCGGUAGGGGAGACUGGAAUUCCUGGUGUAGCGGUGAAAUGCGCAGAUAUCAGGAGGAACACCGAUGGCGAAGGCAGGUCUCUGGGCCGAUACUGACGCUGAGGAGCGAAAGCGUGGGGAGCGAACAGG
rnacentral:rRNA from 1 species